GAGGUCGUAUUUUUUCUUUUAUAAACGUACGGCCCGUCGAAAUAGACAGUACGGAUAUUCGGUGUGACGUGUUCGUAGAAGGAUAUAAAGGUAAUUAUGUGAAAGGUGCACGUGUGAGUGUGUGGUGCGAGAAGCGGGGGAUUGCUCCCCACUUCUAUAAUUCUUCUCAGGAGAAUUAUUUCUCCUCCCUAUUCUCUCAUUCUCUCACGGCUGUCUCUCUCUCCUCUCCUCCGAAACUUUCUCUCCUCUCUUCUCUCUUCGAUUUCAUUCACCUAGGGUGAGAUUCCGGACAAAGCCCGAGUAUUAAAGUUGCUAUUCGGAGUACGGGCUUUCCGAAUAUCCAAGAAAAAUCAUGAUCGGACCUCGUGGAGCUACGGUUGACUGGGUCAAAGGGUCGGGUUUUACUCAAAACCCUUGAGGUUCAUUGCAGGUCAUGGUCAUGGUCAUGGAGUACUUGGAGUGCAUGCUGACAUUAUCGAUUAAAGCUAUUUUGGAGAGUACUUUAUUAUUCUUGAAUAACAAACGACUUUGUUAUGAAAUUCCUACUUUGAAAGAUUGUAUUUGUCGACCAAUUUAUGGAAUCGGAAACUGUAUUGUAUUUUGGGGUAUUGUACGUACGAUUGUGAGGACUUUGUAUUUCAAAUGGUAUUGUUAAUUUAUGUUGAAAA